AUUUGUUAUUUCUUUUGCUUGUCAUCUUUAGUUUUUGAUUUUGUUUUAAUUUCUCUUGGUUAAUUUUUCCAUUGAGAAGUUUUCAUAUAAAAUGUUGUCCUCACCCCACCUCGCCUCACCAUUUGCUGUCCAAACACCGCCUACUGGUGUUUCAGCCUCAGCUGCGAAGAACAAGGGGAUGGAUAAUUACAAACAGGGGAAGUAUGCUGAUGCCAUAAAGUGGCUUUCUUGGGCUGUGAUUCUUCUUGAGAAGACUUGUGAUGGUGCUAACCCUUGAACAAAUCAACUUGGCUGAUGUCAAGUACCCACUGGAGCAUUUUAAGAACAUCCUUGUUGUCUCAAAGUAUUACUGAAGGAUUAUCUUGGCGAGACUUGCUGAGCUGCUUUGUCUCAUUGUUUAGGUAUGCCAAUACUUAAUUGUGGUAUAGUCAUCAUCAAAUGUUUGUAAUGUAAUCAUAUAAAGUUUUUGCCAUAUGGUUA